rnacentral:misc_RNA from 1 species
GCAGUUUUAUAAAUUAUAAGAGUGGACACGUCGGUGGGGAUUUAAUCAUUUAGGUCUGCUCCUAGAAGUCAUCCCCCCACCCCACCUGUAUGAUUUUGUAAUUUCUUCAUAUUAUGGUGAUCUGUUUGAGUCUGUGAAAAGCGUGUGGAUCAUUUACAAAUAGUUUUGAGUACAAUUUGUAUGCAUAUAUUGUUGAGAUGAUUUUU